rnacentral:rRNA from 1 species
GGGUUGUGAGGUUAAGCGACUAAGCGUACACGGUGGAUGCCCUGGCAGUCAGAGGCGAUGAAGGACGUGCUAAUCUGCGAUAAGCGUCGGUGAGGUGAUAUGAACCGUUAUAACCGGCGAUUUCCGAAUGGGGAAACCCAGUGUGUUUCGACACACUAUCAUUAACUGAAUCC